CGGCGUCAGACCAGGCGAGCCAGCCUUCAGAGGAUUUGAGCAGUGGUGUGAUCAGGCCGUGCUUCAGGUUGCGAGGCAGUAGGAGCAGAAGUAGCCCAGCAGCCGAGAACAUGGCAGACACAAGCCACGCUCCACCUUCCCAGAAUCAGUUUCAUGGCAUACGGGGGAAAAAGGUUUUGAUUGUUGGUUCCUCCUUGGAUUGUCCCAUUGGAAGCUACCGCUCAGGGUCUGGUUCUCUUCCUGAACUCUCCCGUAGAAGCCAUGAGCCUCCACUUUCUCAACCCUGGACACAGACCCCACUGCGACAGAGCUGGCCAAGAGCACUCAGAUCAAGAAACAGAAGAAUGUCAGCUCCUGCAGAACUCUCCCUGAGUCCCUCCCAGUCACCAGGCCCCUCCUUUCCAAAGGAAAAAAGAGUCUUUGCAGAUGUAAUUAACUUAAGGAUCUUGAGAUGUGGAGAUCAUCCUGGAUUAUCCAAGUGGGCCCUAGAUCCAAGGACACGUACUUAAAAGAAUGAGGCAGAGGGAGAUGACACAGACAGGGGAAAACACCAUGAGAAAAAGGAGGUGGACGUUGGAGUGAUGCACCCACAAGCCAAGGAAUGCCCACAGCGGCCAGAAGCUUGCAAGAGACAAGGAAGAGAAUUUCCCCUAGAGCCUCCGGAGGGAGUGCAGCCCCAAUCACUCGGUAAUUUCAGACUUCUGGCCUCCAGAACUGACCAUGAGAGAAUCAAUUACUGUAGUGUUUGCCACCGAGUUGGUGGUCAUUUGUUAUGGCAGUGGCAGGAAACUAACACAGAUCUAUUAGAAAUUAAUUUGCUAUGCAUUCUUGUACGUCUUUUGGUACAUAUACAUAAACAUACACACACCUAAGAAUGGAAUUGCUAGAUCAUAGGGUGGACAUAUGUUUAGCAAAAGAGAUAUUGCCAAACGAUUUUCCGCAGUAGUUAUACCAAUUUAUACUCCCACCAGCAGUAUUUGAGAGAUCCGGUUUCUCCACAUCUUU
rnacentral:lncRNA from 1 species